rnacentral:lncRNA from 1 species
CACUUGUGCACACACACACGUGCACACGUGCAUGCACACACAGAUGUGCACGUGCACACACACUCACACCCAUGCACGUGCACACCCAUGCACACACACACACUUGUGCACACACACACGUGCACACGUGCAUGCACACACAGAUGUGCACGUGCACACACACUCACACCCAUGCACGUGCACACCCAUGCACACACACACACUUGUGCACACACACACGUGCACACGUGCAUGCACACACAGAUGUGCACGUGCACACACACUCACACCCAUGCACGUGCACACCCAUGCACACACACACACUUGUGCACACACACACGUGCACACGUGCAUGCACACACAGAUGUGCACGUGCACACACACUCACACCCAUGCACGUGCACACCCAUGCACACACACACACUUGUGCACACACACACGUGCACACGUGCAUGCACACACAGAUGUGCACGUGCACACACACUCACACCCAUGCACGUGCACACCCAUGCACACACACACACUUGUGCACACACACACGUGCACACGUGCAUGCACACACAGAUGUGCACGUGCACACACACUCACACCCAUGCACGUGCACACCCAUGCACACACACACACUUGUGCACACACACACGUGCACACGUGCAUGCACACACAGAUGUGCACGUGCACACACACUCACACCCAUGCACGUGCACACCCAUGCACACACACACACUUGUGCACACACACACGUGCACACGUGCAUGCACACACAGAUGUGCACGUGCACACACACUCACACCCAUGCACGUGCACACCCAUGCACACACACACACUUGUGCACACACACACGUGCACACGUGCAUGCACACACAGAUGUGCACGUGCACACACACUCACACCCAUGCACGUGCACACCCAUGCACACACACACACUUGUGCACACACACACGUGCACACGUGCAUGCACACACAGAUGUGCACGUGCACACACACUCACACCCAUGCACGUGCACACCCAUGCACACACACACACUUGUGCACACACACACGUGCACACGUGCAUGCACACACAGAUGUGCACGUGCACACACACUCACACCCAUGCACGUGCACACCCAUGCACACACACACACUUGUGCACACACACACGUGCACACGUGCAUGCACACACAGAUGUGCACGUGCACACACACUCACACCCAUGCACGUGCACACCCAUGCACACACACACACUUGUGCACACACACACGUGCACACGUGCAUGCACACACAGAUGUGCACGUGCACACACACUCACACCCAUGCACGUGCACACCCAUGCACACACACACACUUGUGCACACACACACGUGCACACGUGCAUG